GAUGAACGCUGGCGGCGUGCCUAAUACAUGCAAGUCGAGCGAACAGACGAGGAGCUUGCCCCUCUGACGUUAGCGGCGGACGGGUGAGUAACACGUGGAUAACCUACCUAUAAGACUGGGAUAACUUCGGGAAACCGGAGCUAAUACCGGAUAAUAUAUUGAACCGCAUGGUUCAAUAGUGAAAGACGGUUUUGCUGUCACUUAUAGAUGGAUCCGCGCCGCAUUAGCUAGUUGGUAAGGUAACGGCUUACCAAGGCAACGAUGCGUAGCCGACCUGAGAGGGUGAUCGGCCACACUGGAACUGAGACACGGUCCAGACUCCUACGGGAGGCAGCAGUAGGGAAUCUUCCGCAAUGGGCGAAAGCCUGACGGAGCAACGCCGCGUGAGUGAUGAAGGUCUUCGGAUCGUAAAACUCUGUUAUUAGGGAAGAACAAAUGUGUAAGUAACUACGCACGUCUUGACGGUACCUAAUCAGAAAGCCACGGCUAACUACGUG
rnacentral:rRNA from 1 species